rnacentral:rRNA from 1 species
GCACUUUUGUGUGUGUGGUGGAAAGUUUUUUCGGUACGAGAUGAGCCCGCGGCCUAUCAGCUUGUUGGUGGGGUAAUGGCCUACCAAGGCGUCGACGGGUAGCCGGCCUGAGAGGGUGGACGGCCACAUUGGGACUGAGAUACGGCCCAGACUCCUACGGGAGGCAGCAGUGGGGAAUAUUGCACAAUGGGCGCAAGCCUGAUGCAGCGACGCCGCGUGAGGGAUGACGGCCUUCGGGUUGUAAACCUCUUUCGACAGGGACGAAGCUUUUUGUGACGGUACCUGUAUAAGAAGCACCGGCUAACUACGUGCCAGCAGCCGCGGUAAUACGUAGGGUGCGAGCGUUGUCCGGAAUUACUGGGCGUAAAGAGCUCGUAGGUGGUUUGUCGCGUCGUCUGUGAAAUUCCGGGGCUUAACUCCGGGCGUGCAGGCGAUACGGGCAUAACUUGAGUGCUGUAGGGGAGACUGGAAUUCCUGGUGUAGCGGUGGAAUGCGCAGAUAUCAGGAGGAACACCGAUGGCGAAGGCAGGUCUCUGGGCAGUAACUGACGCUGAGGAGCGAAAGCAUGGGGAGCGAACAGGAUUAGAUACCCUGGUAGUCCAUGCCGUAAACGGUGGGCGCUAGGUGUGAGGGUCUUCCACGACUUUCGUGCCGUAGCUAACGCAUUAAGCGCCCCGCCUGGGGAGUACGGCCGCAAGGCUAAAACUCAAAGGAAUUGACGGGGGCCCGCACAAGCGGCGGAGCAUGUGGAUUAAUUCGAUGC